CUGUGACGUAGCUGCAGCAACCAGGCAGAAGCUGCUUAACUGAGUUGCUGAAUGUGCAUGAAGACGUCUUCGUGGAUCCAGGGGUUCUGCUGAACCUGGAGAAGGACAACGAUAGACUGAGCAAAAGACGGUGUUCGUUUUGUUGGCGCAGCUGCAAGACGAAGAUAAGAGCACUGAUGAUAACAACCUGUCGGCAUACUGACAUUUCUUUGGACACUCAGCAAUGAGCUGUUAGCCACAACCCUGCAGAAAAGAAUCACAGUUUAAGAGAGUAAGCUGUACACCUGCAAAAUGAAACAUAUAUUCUAAGUUGCGUUGCUUGUUUUCCUUUUGCAGAU